rnacentral:lncRNA from 1 species
GCUGCCUGUCUGCUUGACUCAGGACACACAUACUGAACAGGAGCUCCUGAUUCCCCAAGGAUGGAGAUUCCCAAGCACCAGUUCAUUCAUUAAACCAAGGCGGUCCCCUCAAAUUUAUUGUUGUUCUUUCUGAAUUCCUGAAUUUCUGAACUUGGUGAGCUAGGAGUACUUUGGUACCUUAAAAAUCAUGGCCUUUUUUUUUUUUUUCCUUCUGGUUCCCAGCUGCAUCUUCUUAUCCC